GGAAUCUUCCACAAUGGACGAAAGUCUGAUGGAGCAACGCCGCGUGAGUGAUGAAGGCUUUAGGGUCGUAAAACUCUGUUGUUGGAGAAGAACGUGUGUGAGAGUAACUGCUCAUGCAGUGACGGUAUCCAACCAGAAAGCCACGGCUAACUACGUGCCAGCAGCCGCGGUAAUACGUAGGUGGCAAGCGUUAUCCGGAUUUAUUGGGCGUAAAGCGAGCGCAGGCGGUUUGAUAAGUCUGAUGUGAAAGCCUUUGGCUUAACCAAAGAAGUGCAUCGGAAACUGUCAGACUUGAGUGCAGAAGAGGACAGUGGAACUCCAUGUGUAGCGGUGGAAUGCGUAGAUAUAUGGAAGAACACCAGUGGCGAAGGCGGCUGUCUGGUCUGCAACUGACGCUGAGGCUCGAAAGCAUGGGUAGCGAACA
rnacentral:rRNA from 1 species